UGUCGGUGUGCCUUUCCUCAUCUUCGUCAAGUCCAUGAGGUCGUGGACGAUUGUUCGCAGACUCAGUAGAGUACCAUCGCGUUUAAACUGAAAAGCUCAGAGGCAGAAGUGUUGAUCCCACAGCAGAGUACCACGUUUGUGUUCUACAGCCACGGGGAUUGUAGGCAUCCUGAUCACCAUCACACAAACCCAAGAACUCUGGUGAGAUAAUAAAAAGGUGGUGAAUUCAGAA